rnacentral:rRNA from 1 species
AGGUGCUGCACGGCUGUCGUCAGCUCGUGUCGUGAGAUGUUGGGUUAAGUCCCGCAACGAGCGCAACCCUCGUGUUUAGUUACUAACAGUUCGGCUGAGGACUCUAAACAGACUGCCUGGGUAACCAGGAGGAAGGUGAGGACGACGUCAAGUCAUCAUGGCCCUUACGGCCAGGGCUACACACGUGCUACAAUGGGGUAUACAAAGAGCUGCAAUACGGUGACGUGGAGCAAAUCUCAUAAAAUAUCUCCCAGUUCGGAUUGAAGUCUGCAACUCGACUUCAUGAAGUUGGAAUCGCUAGUAAUCGUAGAUCAGCAAUGCUACGGUGAAUACGUUCCCGGGUCUUGUACUCACCGCCCGUCACACCAUGGGAAUUGAAUUCAUUCGAAGCGGGGAUGCUAAAAUAGCUACCUUCCACAGUGGAUUUAGUAACUAGGGUGAAGUUCAAGCAACAUA